rnacentral:rRNA from 1 species
GGGAAUUUUCGGCAAUGGGCGAAAGCCUGACCGAGCAACGCCGCGUGAACGAAGAAGGUUUUCGGAUUGUAAACUAUUGUCGUGAGGGAAGAAAUUGACAGUACCUCAGGAGGAAGCUCCGGCUAACUAUGUGCCAGCAGCCGCGGUAAUACGUAGGGAGCAAGCGUUAUCCGGAUUUAUUGGGUGUAAAGGGUGCGUAGACGGAAAAUUAAGUUAGUUGUGAAAUCCCUCGGCUUAACUGAGGAACUGCAACUAAAACUGAUUUUCUUGAGUACUGGAGAGGAAAGUGGAAUUCCUAGUGUAGCGGUGAAAUGCGUAGAUAUUAGGAGGAACACCAGUGGCGAAGGCGACUUUCUGGACAGUAACUGACGUUGAGGCACGAAAGUGUGGGGAGCAAACAGG